rnacentral:rRNA from 1 species
ACCGUACUCCUACGGGAGGCAGCAGUGGGGAAUUUUGGACAAUGGGGGCAACCCUGAUCCAGCAAUGCCGCGUGAGUGAAGAAGGCCUUCGGGUUGUAAAGCUCUUUUGUCAGGGAAGAAACGGUAGUAGCUAAUAUCUAUUACUAAUGACGGUACCUGAAGAAUAAGCACCGGCUAACUACGUGCCAGCAGCCGCGGUAAUACGUAGGGUGCAAGCGUUAAUCGGAAUUACCAGGCGUAAAGCGUGCGCAGGCGGUUGUGUAAGUCAGAUGUGAAAUCCCCGGGCUCAACCUGGGAAUUGCAUUUGAGACUGCACGGCUAGAGUGUGUCGGAGGGGGGUAGAAUCCCACGAGUAGCAGUGAAAUGCGUAGAUAUGUGGAGGAAUACCGAUGGCGGAGGCAGCCCCCUGGGAUAACACUGACGCUCAUGCACGAAAGCGUGGGGAGCAAACAGGAUUAGAUACCCUUGUAGUCCUUGAC